AACGAACGCUGGCGGCAUGCCUAACACAUGCAAGUCGAACGAGACCUUCGGGUCUAGUGGCGCACGGGUGCGUAACGCGUGGGAACCUGCCCUUAGGUUCGGAAUAACUCCCCGAAAGGGGUGCUAAUACCGGAUAAUGUCUUCGGACCAAAGAUUUAUCGCCUUUGGAUGGGCCCGCGUUGGAUUAGCUAGUUGGUAGGGUAAAAGCCUACCAAGGCGACGAUCCAUAGCUGGUCUGAGAGGAUGAUCAGCCACACUGGGACUGAGACACGGCCCAGACUCCUACGGGAGGAAGCAGUGAGGAAUAUUAGACAAUGGGCGAAAGCCUGAUCCAGCAAUGCCGCGUGAGUGAUGAAGGCCUUAGGGUUGUAAAGCUCUUUUACCCGGGAUGAUAAUGACAGUACCGGGAGAAUAAGCUCCGGCUAAAUCCGUG
rnacentral:rRNA from 1 species